GUGGACUCUGUGUGGUAUCAUCCAGGAAGGAGGAGAAGCAGAGGCUCCAGAAAAUAAGCGUCGGGCCGGUUACCCCAACUUACCCCACAUUUGGGCGGCACCUAGCCCUGAAGCCGUUUGUGACUGUCACUCAGACUGCAUUAAUAAGGUCAUGAUGCUCAGCAAGGCUCAGCUUGCAUCUCAUUAAACCCUGAAUUCUGCUGGCGGGUACUGACUCCUCCUCCAGUUGUGUCUCUCAGGAUUGACGUGGUCCUGCUGUAAUAGAGAGAACCAGGUAGCUCAAGAAGGGGGAAAAGUAAAAAG